UCCCUGGUGGCUCAGAUGGUAAAGAAUCUGCCUGCAAUGCAGGAGACCUGGGUUCAAUACCUGGGUUGGGAA
rnacentral:tRNA from 1 species